rnacentral:rRNA from 1 species
GAUGAAACGCUAGCUACAGGCUUAACACAUGCAAGUCGAGGGGCAGCAUGGUCUUAGCUUGCUAAGGCCGAUGGCGACCGGCGCACGGGUGAGUAAACACGUAUCCAACCUGCCGUCUACUCUUGGACAGCCUUCUGAAAGGAAGAUUAAUACAAGAUGGCAUCAUGAGUUCACAUGUUCACAUGAUUAAAGGUAUUCCGGUAGACGAUGGGGAUGCGUUCCAUUAGAUAGUAGGCGGGGUAACGGCCCACCUAGUCUUCGAUGGAUAGGGGUUCUGAGAGGAAGGUCCCCCACAUUGGAACUGAGACACGGUCCAAACUCCUACGGGAGGCAGCAGUGAGGAAUAUUGGUCAAUGGGCGAGAGCCUGAACCAGCCAAGUAGCGUGAAAGGAUGGACUGGCCCUAUGGGUUGUAAACUUUCUUUUAUAAAAGGAAUAAAGUCGGGUAUGGUAUACCCGUUUUGCAUGUACUUUAUGAAAUAAAGGAU